AUUGAACGCUGGCGGCAGGCCUAACACAUGCAAGUCGAGCGCGAAAGUCUUCGGAUGAGUAAAGCGGCGAACGGGUGAGUAAUGCAUGGGAAUCUGCCUGGUAGUGGGGGACAACGUCUCGAAAGGGACGCUAAUACCGCAUACGCCCUACGGGGGAAAGGGGGGGAUCUUCGGACCUCUCGCUAUCAGAUGAGCCCAUGCCGGAUUAGCUAGUUGGGGGGGUAAAGGCCCACCAAGGCGACGAUCCGUAGCUGGUCUGAGAGGAUGAUCAGCCACACUGGAACUGAGACACGGUCCAGACUCCUACGGGAGGCAGCAGUGGGGAAUAUUGGACAAUGGGGGCAACCCUGAUCCAGCCAUGCCGCGUGUGUGAAGAAGGCCUUAGGGUUGUAAAGCACUUUCAGUGGGGAGAAAGGUGAUUCACCUAAUACGUGAGUCAAUUGAUGCUACCCACAGAAGAAGCACCGGCUAACUCCGUGCCAGCCGCCGCGGAA
rnacentral:rRNA from 1 species